rnacentral:tRNA from 1 species
GCCAGUGUAGCUCAGUUGAUAGAGCAGUUCCCUUGUAAGGAACAGGUCGGGGGUUUGAAUCCCUUCACUGGCU